AACGAACGCUGGCGGCGCGCCUAAUACAUGCAAGUCGAACGAGAAGGUGUAGCAAUACACUUGUACAGUGGCGAACGGGUGAGGAAUGCAUGGGCAACCUACCCUCGAGUGGGGAACAACCAGCCGAAAGGUUGGCUAAUACCGCGUACGCUUCCGGGUCUCCGGAUCCGGAAGGAAAGUCACACCGUGGGUGUGACGCUCAAGGAUGGGCUCAUGUCCUAUCAGCUUGNGGUGAGGUAACGGCUCACCAAGGCAACGACGGGUAGCUGGUCUGAGAGGACGAUCAGCCACACUGGCACUGCGACACGGGCCAGACUCCUACGGGAGGCAGCAGUAAGGAAUAUUGCGCAAUGGGCGAAAGCCUGACGCAGCGACGCCGCGUGGGGGAUGAAGGUCUUCGGAUUGUAAACCCCCUUUUA
rnacentral:rRNA from 1 species